CCUCCCGGUUCAUAGGUUGAUGCUCAACCCCUGAGCCACGCUGGCUGGUCGGGCUCCGUCAUUUUCACACAGCAUCUGAGUCGCCCCACGCCUCACUCAGGACCACCGGCUCUUGGUGUUGAUUACACAGAGCAAACCCCCUGGGAAAGUCUGAACGUCUCCGGGGGCCAAGCCUCCCCUGACACAAAGGCCCAGGGCCCGGACAGUCUGUGUUAGGCCUUCAUUCCCCAGGCAACGUGGCUCCCUUGUCUUACCUCGGUCUUUGAUUGCCAUUCCUUCACAGUGUCAUGCUUUCUCCAAGCCCACGCAGAUGCCUCCUUAGCUGCUUUUGUCUUUAAACGGGUACGAAUGCCUGCCUUCCUUACUUCACAGGGUUGCCAUGGGGGUCGGGCACUUUAACCUUUGUGAAGUGAGCACUCACGGAGAAACAUGAGAGAGAGACUUUGGUCCAAAGGACCGACUCAGCUCUCGAACCAGCAGCUGGAAAGAGGUGGGAAUGAAGGAAAGGAUGCUUUUCAGGAAAGAGCAAGCGAGCGAACAGGACUCGGUGAGGGAGUGGCCACCGGGCACGCGCUGAACAAGGGAAAGAAGUCAGAGCCUGGUUCCUAUUGAUCAAAAUGGCCCAAGGCUGAGAGAGGAUGUCCUGUACCAGGACCCAUGCCGUUGUCAAGGUCGUGGAACGAGAUCACCCAGCCGCUCCCUCCCUGGACCUCGGAGCACAGGAUGGACACCAAAGGAGGAAGGGGGUCUGACACAAGGCAGGUUGUCUGUUGCUGAGAUCUGGGGACCACGUGGGAGGACCCGAGUGCAGCCCCAGCCAACAGCCGGCAAGAAGACAGCCUUCAUUUCUGGACCUGCAGGAAACUGAAUUCAGCCAACAACAAGACUCUCAUAGCCAGAAGCAAAGAUGAAACCUUAAGGCUUAUCAAAUGUCUUUCCUCCUAAAAAAAAAAAAAAGAAGAAGAAGAAGAACCAAAAUGACCUCAUUAGG